AGUGAACGCUGGCGGUAGGCCUAACACAUGCAAGUCGAACGGCAGCACAGUAAGAGCUUGCUCUUACGGGUGGCGAGUGGCGGACGGGUGAGGAAUACAUCGGAAUCUACUUUUUCGUGGGGGAUAACGUAGGGAAACUUACGCUAAUACCGCAUACGACCUACGGGUGAAAGCAGGGGAUCUUCGGACCUUGCGCGAUUGAAUGAGCCGAUGUCGGAUUAGCUAGUUGGCGGGGUAAAGGCCCACCAAGGCGACGAUCCGUAGCUGGUCUGAGAGGAUGAUCAGCCACACUGGAGCUGAGACACGGUCCAGCCUCCUACGGGAGGCAGCAGUGGGGAAUCUUGGACAAUGGGCGCAAGCCUGAUCCAGCCAUACCGCGUGGGUGAAGAAGGCCUUCGGGUUGUAAAGCCCUUUUGUUGGGAAAGAAAAGCAGCAGGUUAAUACCCCGCUGUUCUGACGGUACCCAAAGAAUAAGCACCGGCUAACUUCGU
rnacentral:rRNA from 1 species